UAACCGGCGAUUUCCGAAUGGGGAAACCCAGUGUGAUUCGUCACACUAUCAUUAACUGAAUCCAUAGGUUAAUGAGGCGAACCGGGGGAACUGAAACAUCUAAGUACCCCGAGGAAAAGAAAUCAACCGAGAUUCCCCCAGUAGCGGCGAGCGAACGGGGAGCAGCCCAGAGCCUGAAUCAGUGUGUGUGUUAGUGGAAGCGUCUGGAAAGGCGCGCGAUACAGGGUGACAGCCCCGUACACAAAAAUGCACAUAUUGUGAGCUCGAUGAGUAGGGCGGGACACGUGGUAUCCUGUCUGAAUAUGGGGGGCCCAUCCUCCAAGGCUAAAUACUCCUGACUGACCGAUAGUGAACCAGUACCGUGAGGGAAAGGCGAAAAGAACCCCGGCGAGGGGAGUGAAAAAGAACCUGAAACCGUGUACGUACAAGCAGUGGGAGCACGCUUAGGCGUGUGACUGCGUACCUUUUGUAUAAUGGGUCAGCGACUUAUAUUCUGUAGCAAGGUUAACCGAAUAGGGGAGCCGAAGGGAAACCGAGUCUUAACUGGGCGUUAAGUUGCAGGGUAUAGACCCGAAACCCGGUGAUCUAGCCAUGGGCAGGUUGAAGGUUGGGUAACACUAACUGGAGGACCGAACCGACUAAUGUUGAAAAAUUAGCGGAUGACUUGUGGCUGGGGGUGAAAGGCCAAUCAAACCGGGAGAUAGCUGGUUCUCCCCGAAAGCUAUUUAGGUAGCGCCUCGUGAAUUCAUCUCCGGGGGUAGAGCACUGUUUCGGCAAGGGGGUCAUCCCGACUUACCAACCCGAUGCAAACUGCGAAUACCGGAGAAUGUUAUCACGGGAGACACACGGCGGGUGCUAACGUCCGUCGUGAAGAGGGAAACAACCCAGACCGCCAGCUAAGGUCCCAAAGUCAUGGUUAAGUGGGAAACGAUGUGGGAAGGCCCAGACAGCCAGGAUGUUGGCUUAGAAGCAGCCAUCAUUUAAAGAAAGCGUAAUAGCUCACUGGUCGAGUCGGCCUGCGCGGAAGAUGUAACGGGGCUAAACCAUGCACCGAAGCUGCGGCAGCGACGCUUAUGCGUUGUUGGGUAGGGGAGCGUUCUGUAAGCCUGCGAAGGUGUGCUGUGAGGCAUGCUGGAGGUAUCAGAAGUGCGAAUGCUGACAUAAGUAACGAUAAAGCGGGUGAAAAGCCCGCUCGCCGGAAGACCAAGGGUUCCUGUCCAACGUUAAUCGGGGCAGGGUGAGUCGACCCCUAAGGCGAGGCCGAAAGGCGUAGUCGAUGGGAAACAGGUUAAUAUUCCUGUACUUGGUGUUACUGCGAAGGGGGGACGGAGAAGGCUAUGUUGGCCGGGCGACGGUUGUCCCGGUUUAAGCGUGUAGGCUGGUUUUCCAGGCAAAUCCGGAAAAUCAAGGCUGAGGCGUGAUGACGAGGCACUACGGUGCUGAAGCAACAAAUGCCCUGCUUCCAGGAAAAGCCUCUAAGCAUCAGGUAACAUCAAAUCGUACCCCAAACCGACACAGGUGGUCAGGUAGAGAAUACCAAGGCGCUUGAGAGAACUCGGGUGAAGGAACUAGGCAAAAUGGUGCCGUAACUUCGGGAGAAGGCACGCUGAUAUGUAGGUGAAGUCCCUUGCGGAUGGAGCUGAAAUCAGUCGAAGAUACCAGCUGGCUGCAACUGUUUAUUAAAAACACAGCACUGUGCAAACACGAAAGUGGACGUAUACGGUGUGACGCCUGCCCGGUGCCGGAAGGUUAAUUGAUGGGGUCAGCGCAAGCGAAGCUCUUGAUCGAAGCCCCGGUAAACGGCGGCCGUAACUAUAACGGUCCUAAGGUAGCGAAAUUCCUUGUCGGGUAAGUUCCGACCUGCACGAAUGGCGUAAUGAUGGCCAGGCUGUCUCCACCCGAGACUCAGUGAAAUUGAACUCGCUGUGAAGAUGCAGUGUACCCGCGGCAAGACGGAAAGACCCCGUGAACCUUUACUAUAGCUUGACACUGAACAUUGAGCCUUGAUGUGUAGGAUAGGUGGGAGGCUUUGAAGUGUGGACGCCAGUCUGCAUGGAGCCGGCCUUGAAAUACCACCCUUUAAUGUUUGAUGUUCUAACGUGGACCCGUGAUCCGGGUUGCGGACAGUGUCUGGUGGGUAGUUUGACUGGGGCGGUCUCCUCCUAAAGAGUAACGGAGGAGCACGAAGGUUGGCUAAUCCUGGUCGGACAUCAGGAGGUUAGUGCAAUGGCAUAAGCCAGCUUGACUGCGAGCGUGACGGCGCGAGCAGGUGCGAAAGCAGGUCAUAGUGAUCCGGUGGUUCUGAAUGGAAGGGCCAUCGCUCAACGGAUAAAAGGUACUCCGGGGAUAACAGGCUGAUACCGCCCAAGAGUUCAUAUCGACGGCGGUGUUUGGCACCUCGAUGUCGGCUCAUCACAUCCUGGGGCUGAAGUAGGUCCCAAGGGUAUGGCUGUUCGCCAUUUAAAGUGGUACGCGAGCUGGGUUUAGAACGUCGUGAGACAGUUCGGUCCCUAUCUGCCGUGGGCGCUGGAGAACUGAGGGGGGCUGCUCCUAGUACGAGAGGACCGGAGUGGACGCAUCACUGGUGUUCGGGUUGUCAUGCCAAUGGCACUGCCCGGUAGCUAAAUGCGGAAGAGAUAAGUGCUGAAAGCAUCUAAGCACGAAACUUGCCCCGAGAUGAGUUCUCCCUGACCCUUUAAGGGUCCUGAAGGAACGUUGAAGACGACGACGUUGAUAGGCCGGGUGUGUAAGCGCAGCGAUGC
rnacentral:rRNA from 1 species